AUUGAACGCUGGCGGCAGGCCUAACACAUGCAAGUAGAGCGGAUGAAGGGAGCUUGCUCCUGGAUUCAGCGGCGGACGGGUGAGUAAUGCCUAGGAAUCUGCCGGGUAGUGGGGGAUAACGUCCGGAAACGGGCGCUAAUACCGCAUACGACCUGAGGGAGAAAGUGGGGGAUCUUCGGACCUCACGCUAUCAGAUGAGCCUAGGUCGGAUUAGCUAGUUGGUGGGGUAAAGGCCUACCAAGGCGACGAUCCGUAACUGGUCUGAGAGGAUGAUCAGUCACACUGGAACUGGGACACGGUCCAGACUCCUACGGGAGGCAGCAGUGGGGAAUAUUGGACAAUGGGCGAAAGCCUGAUCCAGCCAUGCCGCGUGUUUGAAGAAGGUCUUCGGAUUGUAAAGCACUUUAAGUUGGGAGGAAGGGCAGUAAGUUAAUACCUUGCUGUUUUGACGUUACCAACAGAAUAAGCACCGGCUAACUUCGUG
rnacentral:rRNA from 1 species